AAGGCUCAGUACAACAGCUAUUAUUUAUUUGAUCAUAAACAUAGUUACUUGGAUAACUGUGGUAAUUCCAGAGCUAAUACAUGCAAACAACAUGGAUCCCUGUAGCAAUAUGGGUGAAACAUGUGCUUUUAUUAGAUUAAAACCAUGUCCAUCGUAAGGUGGAUUUGUUUUAGAUGAAUCUGGAUAAUUAUGGCUGAUCGUAUGGUCUUGCACCGACGAUAGAUCAUUCAAAUGUCUGCCCUAUCAACUAUUGAUGGUAGUAUAGAGGACUACCAUGGUUGCAACGGGUAACGGGGAAUCAGGGUUCGA
rnacentral:rRNA from 1 species